rnacentral:rRNA from 1 species
AAGGACGGUGCCAGCCGCCGCGGUAAUACCGGCGCCCCAAGUGGUAGUCGCUUUUAUUGGGCCUAAAACGUCCGUAGCCGGUCUGGUACAUUCGUGGGUAAAUCAACCAGCUCAACUGGUUGAAUUCUGCGAGCACGGCCAGACUUGGGACCGGGAGAGGUGUGGGGUACUCUCAGGGUAGGGGUAAAAUCCUGUCAUCCUGAGAGGACCACCUGUUGCGAAGGCGCCACACUAGAACGGAUCCGACGGUCAGGGACGAAGCCUAGGGGCACGAACCGGAUUAGAUACCCGGGUAGUCCUAGGUGUAAACGCUGUGGACUUGAUGUUGGGGGCGCUCCGAGCGCACUCAGUGUCGAAGCGAAGGUGAUAAGUCCACUGCCUGGGGAGUACGGUCGCAAGGCUGAAACUUAAAGGAAUUGGCGGGGGAGCACCGCAAC